rnacentral:rRNA from 1 species
GAUGAACGCUGGCGGCGUGCUUAACACAUGCAAGUCGAACGAAGCAUUUAUGCCAGAUUACUUCGGUUUGAAGUUCUUUAUGACUGAGUGGCGGACGUGUGAUUAACGCGUGGGUAACCUGCCUUGUACUGGGGGAUACCAGCUGGAAACGGCUGCUACUACCGCAUAAGCGCACAAUGUUGCAUGACAUGGUGUGAAAAACUCCGGUGGGAUAGGAUGGACCCGCUUCAGAUUAGCGAGUUGGUGAGAUAACAGCAAACCAAGGCGGCGAUCAGUAGCCGAGAGGGGAGGGGGACAGGUCACAAUGGGAAUGAGACACGGACCAGACUGGGACGCGGGUCAGGAGUGGGGAAUAUUGCAGAAUGGAGGAAACUCUAAUGAAGCGGCGCGGGGUGAGAGAAGAAGUAAUUCGUUAUGUAAAGCUGUAUCAGAAGGGAAGAGAGUGACGGUACCUGACUAAGAAGCUCCGGCUAAAUACGUG